rnacentral:rRNA from 1 species
AUUGAACGCUGGCGGCAUGCUUUACACAUGCAAGUCGAACGGCAGCGGGGGCUUCGGCCUGCCGGCGAGUGGCGAACGGGUGAGUAAUGCAUCGGAACGUGCCCAUGUCGUGGGGGAUAACGUAGCGAAAGCUACGCUAAUACCGCAUACGUCCUGAGGGAGAAAGCGGGGGGAUCUUCGGACCUCGCGCGAUUGGAGCGGCCGAUGUCGGAUUAGCUAGUAGGUGGGGUAAAGGCCCACCUAGGCGACGAUCCGUAGCGGGUCUGAGAGGAUGAUCCGCCACACUGGGACUGAGACACGGCCCAGACUCCUACGGGAGGCAGCAGUGGGAAUUUUGGACAAUGGGCGCAAGCCUGAUCCAGCCAUGCCGCGUGAGUGAAGAAGGCCUCGGGUUGGUUAAAGGUACGUACUUUCCGGUCCGGGUAACGGAAAGUACGUGGU